GUGAGCAAGCAUUUUUUAGCACUUGUGACUUUGCAAGAUUUUCAUUGUCUUUUGAGGCUAGGUAGUUCAAAUGGGAUACUAUUAACAUUAGUGCUUAUCUCAACAAAGACGAUGAUUAUGGAAUCAAUAUUGAUAUUUGAAUCUCAUGUAGGCAAUGACAUAAUUAUUGCCAUCUGACUUGAAGUCUUUGAAACCCUGUCUUUUGGUUCAUUGGUCAAAAGAACCUUCAGUUUUGUAGAAAGUAGUAGGCGCACGUUAGCUGCUAGAAAAUUUGGAGCUGGCACAAGGGACAAAUUGUAGGUGUACUUGAGCAAAGUUAAGCG
rnacentral:misc_RNA from 1 species